CAGAAGAUAGUUUAAUUUAGAAUCCUGGCUUUGGGGGCCAGGGGUGGGAGUUAAAAUCUCCUUCUUUUGG
rnacentral:tRNA from 2 species